GUCCACGCCGUAAACGUUGGGCACUAGGUGUGGGUCUCAACCAACGAGAUCCGUGCCGAAGCUAACGCAUUAAGUGCCCCGCCUGGGGAGUACGGCCGCAAGGCUAAAACUCAAAGGAAUUGACGGGGGCCCGCACAAGCGGCGGAGCAUGUUGCUUAAUUCGAGGCAACGCGAAGAACCUUACCUGGGUUUGACAUGUAGGGAAAAGCCAUAGAGAUAUGGUGUCCUUCGGGGCCCGUACACAGGUGGUGCAUGGCUGUCGU
rnacentral:rRNA from 1 species